AGAGCCUUAUUCCAAAGCCUUAGAUAUAUGUCAUGUCCCCCUUUCUGACACACUGUGGGUCCUCACAGAAUUCCCAGCAUGACUCAUACAAAAGAGAGACAGAAAAGGACAUCCGUCUUUCUCCAUUGCUUUCUCAUGACAUCAAGUAUUAACACCCACACAGGAAGUGUGAAUCCGUGGCAGCCAUGGACACAUCCGAAUACGUACUUUAUAAUGUUCAUUUCAUUUUUCAUGAUUAACACACAAAACUACCUUUUUAGAUGGGAAUAAAACCUGCACUCAGAGACACCUCAAAUGUCGGCCAGCGCCGCACUGAAAGGACCUUAGCGAUGCUGGGAACUUUGAAAAGGGGAGUGUGGGGGUAGUGUGCAUGGUUGGGGUUGCGGGGGGCCAUGUACCGCCUGCGGGUGGGGCACACUGCUUGCUCUCAGAGGUGGCAAGAGCCACAGUUCUGAAAAACAAGGGUCAGUACAAGGGUUAAAUGAAAGUGAAAUCACGCUGACCCAGAAAUGCAAAUCAGUGUGCCUGAGCUCUCUGUAGGACUUACGGCGCCUGAACACUCUCUUCCUUUCUUCAGAUUACCCGAGAGAGGCUCCAGCGAUUUCGAGAAAAGAGGCGAAAUGUGGAGGGAAGCGGCAGGCAGCCGCGGAAUCUAAUUUUAUUUGAGAAGCAUCUCCACGAUUUAUAGUGGGCUUCUCACAGGAAAAAAAAAAAAAAGGCAGUUUUGAAGUUUAUUUCCCUUUCUUUAUAUUGCUUUUACUACCUUUACUGGUCCAAAUUCAAAGCUCAAAAUCAGAGGUGAUUUUAAAACUAUCUUAACGAAUCAUAAAAGUAAGAGCGCACGCGUGCUGCGAGAUUUAUAAUGCCGAUCUGCAUUUCGUUCUACAAAGUUGCAAAGUGUGCAGGAAGCUUCCGGCUGCUGAGAGAAAAAGCUUCCUGAAAUAUAAAUUCCAGAUCCCUGUGCUUCUCCUCGAGGCACCAGCCUGGAAGCAGCUUCCAGCCAACCCCAGAGUGUUUGAGCACGCUCUACUGCCAAGGUGACCGGGGUAUGUGUGCAAAGCCUGGUCACCAGCAACUGGAGGAUCCAGAAAGAAACUGUGUUCUCCGUGGUUUACCCAAGAUGAGCAAACAAGAGUGACACGGAUUCUUCUGAAGUGGACAACGUUUCCCACUUCCCACGACUGAUAUUGUAGGACCAAGGAAAAGAAACCCUGCCUCUCCUUUCUACCCGACACGGUAGUUAAGGAAACUCCAAAUAACAUUCUCAUCUUGAACCUCAUGGCAACCCAAAGUGAGAAGAAGCUGAGUGAUGUCAGUUACACUGCUCAGAGUCACUGGCAAUGACCGAAGGCUCAGGAUUUGGACGCAGGCCUGGCGUUACAGGUGCGGCCCUUGCCCCAGGCACCAGCAGGACCCUCAGCCAUGGCAGGCAUCCAAGGCCACCCUUGCUGUAUUUGAAGAGGACUAGCCAGUUAUUCAGCGAACACUGGUCUUACUGUAAGCUCAGCUGUGUCCCUUUAAAGCCUACCAAAAGGUAACAGCUGUGCAGACAGUGGGCCGAUUUCACAUAUAUUAAUAUAAACUCUCCCUCCCCCAGCCAACCCACCCCCGCCGCGCGCGCGCGCGCACAGACACGCGCGCACCCGGGACUCUUUUGUUCCUCUUUAACUUGUCUUCCCAAUGAACACAGGAGAAUGGAAGAUGUUGGUAAAACAGGCUAUGCCGGCACUCAAAUUUAUUUAUCGAAGAGCUAAGUACCUCUACAUACAAGUUACAGCAAAUUGUUUUGUUGCCAACUGAUAAAAUACCUAAACACAAGCUUUGAUUUCCUCAGCUGUCAAAUGGAUUGAACAGCGCCUGCCCUUCCUAUCCUUUCCGUGUCACAGGGUUGUUUAGGGAUCGACUGAAACAAGGAGGGUGUGAGCCUACAGACGGCUCUUCACGUAGGUAAGAUGCUGUGAAGUGCAACCCCCGAGGCCGGGCCUCGGGCCUCAGUGGACUCCCCCGGGAGCCGGGACAGGCUAAGCCCAGCGCCCACGCGGACCUGACGUGAUUGUGGCCGCCCGUGCCUAGCAGAAAUUCCCGGGUGCCGGCACUGCAGAUCCAAGAUCACAGCCCCGCAGCAGCCAUAAAAGCCGUAAAGGAGAUCAAAAUCGGCACCAGCGGCCAGCCUGAGGAUGAAGUCCUCGACGGGCGCGCGCAGUUGGGCGCGAACCACCC